rnacentral:rRNA from 1 species
AUUGAACGCUGGCGGCAGGCCUAACACAUGCAAGUCGAACGGUAACAGGAAGCAGCUUGCUGCUUCGCUGACGAGUGGCGGACGGGUGAGUAAUGUCUGGGAAACUGCCUGAUGGAGGGGGAUAACUACUGGAAACGGUAGCUAAUACCGCAUAACGUCGCAAGACCAAAGAGGGGGACCUUCGGACCUCUUGCCAUCGGAUGUGCCCAGAUGGGAUUAGCUAGUAGGUGGGGUAACGGCUCACCUAGGCGACGAUCCCUAGCUGGUCUGAGAGGAUGACCAGCCACACUGGAACUGAGACACGGUCCAGACUCCUACGGGAGGCAGCAGUGGGGAAUAUUGCACAAUGGGCGCAAGCCUGAUGCAGCCAUGCCGCGUGUAUGAAGAAGGCCUUCGGGUUGUAAAGUACUUUCAGCGGGGAGGAAGGGAGUAAAGUUAAUACCUUUGCUCAUUGACGUUACCCGCAGAAGAAGCACCGGCUAACUCCGUG